UACGAAGGGUGCGAGCGUUAAUCGGAAUUACUGGGCGUAAAGCGCGCGUAGGUGGUUGAGUAAGCGAUCUGUGAAAGCCCUGGGCUUAACCUGGGAACUGCAGGUCGAACUGCUUGGCUAGAGUAUGGUAGAGGGGUGUGGAAUUUCCUGUGUAGCGGUGAAAUGCGUAGAUAUAGGAAGGAACAUCAGUGGCGAAGGCGACACCCUGGACCGAUACUGACACUGAGGCGCGAAAGCGUGGGUAGCGAACAGG
rnacentral:rRNA from 1 species